UGGGGCUUCCCUGGUGGCGCAGUGGUUGAGAUCCGCCCGCGUAUGCAGGGGACACGGGUUCGUGCCCCGGUCCGGGAAGAUCCCACAUGCCGUGGAGCGUCUGGGCCUGCUGAGCCUGCGCGUCCGGAGCCUGUGCUCCGCAACGGGAGAGGCCACAACAGUGAGAGGCCCGCGUACAGCAAAAUAAUAAUAAUAAUAAAUAA